AAUUCUUGUGCUUUGAUUACACACUGUGAUAACUCUGUAGGCAUUACUUCGAACAAGUAGACAGAAUAAACAAACAUGAAAGCCCUUCUACAAGUGAUUAGCCUGGUCGUGAUUAGCGUGGUGGUGAUUAUUAUCCCACCGUGCGGGGCUGCACUUGGAGAAAGAAAGGCUUAAAAAUCAAGCCUGAAUCGAAAAAAACCCCCGCACCGAAAGGUCCGGGGGUUUUUUGUUGGGUAAAAAAUUUGGAGAGGAACAGAUAAUGCGUUACAGAAUAAAAUUCUGUUUCUCCAGUAGUGA
rfam:Buttiauxella agrestis ATCC 33320 GBAG.assembly.001, whole genome shotgun sequence.